rnacentral:misc_RNA from 1 species
AACUUCCGGCAACGGAUCACGUGGCUAUCGCAUCGAUGAAGAACACAGCGAAAUGUGAUAAGUAAUGUGAAUUGCAGAAUCCAGUGAAUCAUCGAAUCUUUUAACGCAUCUUGCGCUCCUUGGCAUUCCGAGGAGCAUGCCUGUUUGAGUGUCAUUAAACUAUCAAAACACUUUUUCUCGAGGUGUUUUGGACUUUGGGAGCACUGUGCUGGUCUCUGUUUGAGCCAGCUCUCCUCAAAAGCAUUAACUUUGAGACCAUCAGUGUGAUAAUUUGUUUGCACUGGCUUCUCUUUUUUAACUGCCCCUUUGACCUCAAAUCAGGUAGGACUACCCGCUGAACUUAAGCAUAUCAAUAAGCGGAGGCU